rfam:Mustela putorius furo unplaced genomic scaffold scaffold00076, whole genome shotgun sequence.
AGCCCCUGGCGAUGGGCAGAGAGACACCUCAGCAGUGGUGGUGCGCUCCUAUCAGCUGGGGGCAGAGUGGACGCACAGCCCUUUGUUGAUCCUAGCUUGAUGCCUGGUUUGGUGACCAGAGCUGUUUCAUGCCUGGAGCACAUAA